rnacentral:rRNA from 1 species
UACAGAGACUGCAAGCGUUAUUCGGAUUCACUGGGCGUAAAGGGUGCGCAGGCGGCCAAGUGUGUGAGGCGUGAAAGCCUGGGGCUUAACUCCAGAAUUGCACCUCAAACUACAUGGCUAGAGCAUUGGAGAGGGUAGCAGAAUUCACGGUGUAGCAGUGAAAUGCGUAGAUAUCGUGAGGAAUACCAGAGGCGAAGGCGGCUACCUGGACAAUUGCUGACGCUCAGGCACGAAGGCGUGGGGAGCAAAAGGG